UACAGGGGGUGCAAACGUUGCUCGGAAUCAUUGGGCGUAAAGCGCACGUAGGCGGUUCGUUAUGUCGGAUGUGAAAGCCCUUGGCUUAACCGAGGAAGUGCAUCCGAAACUGGCGAGCUAGAGUACGAAAGAGGAUCGCGGAAUUCCCGGUGUAGAGGUGAAAUUCGUAGAUAUCGGGAGGAACACCGGUGGCGAAGGCGGCCAACUGGACGAAUACUGACGCUGAGACUCGAAAGCGUGGGGAGCAAACAGG
rnacentral:rRNA from 1 species